rnacentral:rRNA from 1 species
AGCGAACGCUGGCGGCAUGCCUAACACAUGCAAGUCGAACGAGACCUUCGGGUCUAGUGGCGCACGGGUGCGUAACGCGUGGGAACCUGCCCUUAGGUUCGGAAUAACUCCCCGAAAGGGGUCCUAAUACCGGAUAAUGUCCUCGGACCAAAGAUUUAUCGCCUUUGUAUGGUCCCGCGUUGGAUUAGCUAGUUGGUAGGGUAAACGUCUACCAAGGCUAGGAUCCAUAGCUGGUCUGAGAGGAUGGUCAGCCACACUGGGACUGCGACACGGCCGAGACUCCUACGGGAGGCGGCAGUGGGGAAUAGUGGAAAAUGGGCGAAGGCAUGAUCCAGCAAUGCCGCGUGAGUGAUGAAGGCCUUAGGGUUGGAAAGCUCUUUUACCCGGGAUGAUAAUGACAGUACCGGAAGAAUAAGCCCCGGCUAACUCCGUG